UACGAAGGGGGCUAGCGUUGCUCGGAAUGACUGGGCGUAAAGCGCACGUAGGCGGAUUUGUAAGUCAGGGGUGAAAUCCCGGGGCUCAACCUCGGAACUGCCUUUGAUACUGCAAAUCUCGAGUCCGGAAGAGGUGAGUGGAAUUCCUAGUGUAGAGGUGAAAUUCGUAGAUAUUAGGAAGAACACCAGUGGCGAAGGCGGCUCACUGGUCCGGUACUGACGCUGAGGUGCGAGAGCGUGGGGAGCAAACAGG
rnacentral:rRNA from 1 species